AUUGAACGCUGGCGGCAGGCCUAACACAUGCAAGUCGAACGAGUGGCGGACGGGUGAGUAAUGUCUGGGAAACUGCCUGAUGGAGGGGGAUAACUACUGGAAACGGUAGCUAAUACCGCAUACCAUCGGAUGUGCCCAGAUGGGAUUAGCUAGUAGGUGGGGUAACGGCUCACCUAGGCGACGAUCCCUAGCUGGUCUGAGAGGAUGACCAGCCACACUGGAACUGAGACACGGUCCAGACUCCUACGGGAGGCAGCAGUGGGGUAUAGUGCACAAUGGGCGCAAGCCUGAUGCAGCCAUGCCGCGUGUAUGAAGAAGGCCUUCGGGUUGUAAAGUACUUUCAGCGGGGAGGCGGUACCUAAAGAAUAAGCACCGGCUAAUUCCGUGCCAGCAGCCGCGGUAAUAC
rnacentral:rRNA from 1 species